UGCGCCAAAUGGGCUUGACCCGCUCGCGGACCGGGCACGAACAGGGAGGCUCUGCCACCUGCCGGACGCCACAGGCAGUGCGUGGGGGUGUGUCCUGGUCCCGGCGUCCUGAGCCCUUGACGCGGCCCUUUCUGCCCAGCAUCACUGCCUGGCCGCGGACCCAUUGGCUGUGAGGGGACGCUUGAAAUGGAGAGCGGCGGGAGGGAUGGCGGCAGCUCAGAGGACAAGAGCUGCCGGCUCGGCAGGCCACGGCUCGGAGGGCACGGAGCUGGAGUCCUGGAACAAUGGCCCACCCAUCCUUGCCCGUCACCUGUAAAGUGGAUGUGGAUGGAUGAUGAGGACCAGACAGAGGCGGGCUGCCUCCAGCCCCUGGAAGAUGCUCAGAUAAACCCUAUUGGGCUGGGCCAGUGUCCUGGGCCAGCAGAGUUCUCCAAAACAGAAUCCAAGGGUCCAGCCUCUUAAGGUCCCUCCAGGCUUGACCUUAAGGGAUGUGAGGUGGGGAUGCAGCGCCAUCUGGUGUCCCAAGUACAGAUGAGCAUCGGGCUAGUUAGUGCCCAAGAAGAGGGCAGGGGUCCGUCCCCCUGCCCGAAGGCUUCUCCUGGUGGCCUUGAUCUUGUGCCCCAAAGAGUAGAGUUUGGCUGGAUAGACUGAGGCCAUCCUUGGGAGGCAGUUUCCCCUGAUACCAAUAAAGAGUUUGCUUGUUCCAAAA